GGCCCUAUGGUCUAGUAGUAUGAUUCUCGCUUUGGGUGCGAGAGGCCCCGGGUUCAAUUCCCGGUGGGGCCC